rnacentral:rRNA from 1 species
GCUCAGGAUGAACGCUGGCGGCGUGCUUAACACAUGCAAGUCGAACGGGAAAUAUUUCAUUGAGACUUCGGUGGAUUUGAUCUAUUUCUAGUGGCGGACGGGUGAGUAACGCGUGGGUAACCUGCCUUAUACAGGGGGAUAACAGUCAGAAAUGGCUGCUAAUACCGCAUAAGUGCACAGAGCUGCAUGGCUCAGUGUGAAAAACUCCGGUGGUAUAAAAUGGACCCGCGUUGGAUUAGCUUGUUGGUGGGGUAACGGCCCACCAAGGCGACGAUCCAUAGCCGGCCUGAGAGGGUGAACGGCCACAUUGGGACUGAGACACGGCCCAGACUCCUACGGGAGGCAGCAGUA